rnacentral:rRNA from 1 species
UAACGCGUGGGUAACCUGCCGUAUACAGGGGGAUAACACUUAGAAAUAGGUGUUAAAACCGCAUAAGCGCACAGGAUCGCAUGGUCUGGUGUGAAAAACUCCGGUGGUAUACGAUGGACCCGCGUCUGAUUAGCUUGUUGGCGGGGUAGAGGCCCACCAAGGCGACGAUCAGUAGCCGGCCUGAGAGGGUGAACGGCCACAUUGGGACUGAGACACGGCCCAAACUCCUACGGGAGGCAGCAGUGGGGAAUAUUGCACAAUGGGGGAAACCCUGAUGCAGCGACGCCGCGUGAGUGAAGAAGUAUUUCGGUAUGUAAAGCUCUAUCAGCAGGAAAGAAAAUGACGGUACCUGACUAAGAAGCCCCGGCUAACUACGUGCCAGCAGCCGCGGUAAUACGUAGGGGGCAAGCGUUAUCCGGAUUUACUGGGUGUAAAGGGAGCGUAGACGGUGAAGCAAGUCUGAAGUGAAAGGCGGGGGCUCAACCCCCGGACUGCUUUGGAAACUGUUUGACUGGAGUGCAGGAGAGGUAAGUGGAAUUCCUAGUGUAGCGGUGAAAUGCGUAGAUAUUAGGAGGAACACCAGUGGCGAAGGCGGCUUACUGGACUGUAACUGACGUUGAGGCUCGAAAGCGUGGGGAGCAAACAGGAUUAGAUACCCUGGUAGUCCACGCGGUAAACGAUGAUCACUAGGUGU